rnacentral:sRNA from 1 species
GUGAGCAUAAUGCCCCCUGGCUCUCUGUUUUGAUCAUCCCCAACUCCAGGGCUUCCUGAAACCAGAGCUGCUAGGCAGUGAAUUCACCCACCUUGAGUUCCCCCGCAGAGUUCUGCCCAAGGAGCUGGGGCAGAGGAUGUUGUACCGGGACCAGAACAUGACCGGCUGGCUCGGGUGAUGGCCACCAUUGGGGUGACCCGAGGCUUGGGAGACCACAACCUUAAGGUCUGCAGUUCCACCCUGCCCAUCAAGCCCUUUCUCUCCUGCUUCCCUGAGGUACAAGUGUAUGACCUGACACAAUAUGAGCACUGCCCAGAUGAUGUGCUAGUCCUGGGAACAGAUGGCCUGUGGGAUGUCACUACUGACUGUGAGGUAGCCGCCACUGUGGACAGGGUGCUGUCAGCCUAUGAGCCCAAUGACCACAGCAGCCCCACCAUGGCUGCAAUCCGAAAGAAGCUGGUGAUCGUUGGGGAUGGUGCCUGUGGGAAGACCUGUCUCCUCAUCGUCUUCAGCAAGGAUCAGUUUCCGGAGGUCUACGUCCCUACUGUCUUUGAGAACUAUAUUGCGGACAUUGAGGUGGACGGCAAGCAGGUGGAGCUGGCUCUGUGGGACACAGCAGGGCAGGAAGACUAUGAUCGACUGCGGCCUCUCUCCUACCCGGACACUGAUGUCAUCCUCAUGUGCUUCUCCAUCGACAGCCCCGACAGCCUGGAAAACAUUCCUGAGAAGUGGACCCCAGAGGUGAAGCACUUCUGCCCCAAUGUGCCCAUCAUCCUGGUGGGGAAUAAGAAG